rnacentral:rRNA from 1 species
CCAGACUCCUACGGGAGGCAGCAGUGAGGAAUAUUGGUCAAUGGUCGGGAGACUGAACCAGCCAAGCCGCGUGAGGGAUGAAGGUACAGAGUAUCGUAAACCUCUUUUGUCAGGGAACAAAGGCGGGGACGUGUCCCCGGAUGAGUGUACCUGAAGAAAAAGCAUCGGCUAACUCCGUGCCAGCAGCCGCGGUAAUACGGAGGAUGCGAGCGUUAUCCGGAUUUAUUGGGUUUAAAGGGUGCGCAGGCGGGUUGUUACCACGGCGCACCAACCCGGGGCCCCCCCCCCGCCCCGCCGUUGAAACUGGCAGUCUCGAGUUGGAGAGAAGUAUGCGGAAUGCGCGGUGUAGCGGUGAAAUGCAUAGAUAUCGCGCAGAACUCCGAUUGCGAAGGCAGCAUGCCGGCUCCACACUGACGCUGAGGCACGAAAGCGUGGGUAUCGAACAGGAUUAGAUACCCUUGUAG